AANUUAGUAAUCUGCUCAUGAAAUUUAAAUAGCCGCAAUAUAUUUGUGCUAAGGUAGCAUAAUCAUUUGUCUUUUAAUUAAAGACUAGAACAAAAGAUUUAACAUUUCUAUUACUUUCUCAACUAUACUUAUUUAAUUUAUCUUAAAUAUAAAAAUAUAUUUAUUAUAUAAAAAGACGACAAGACCCUAUUGAACUUAACUAAAGUUUAACUGGGGUAGUUAAUUAAAUAUAAUUUUAAUUUAAAUUAAAAAAAAAAUCUAAUAAAAUUAAAACAAUCAAGUUACCAUAGGGAUAACAGCGUAAUAAUUUUCUAUAGUUCUUAUUUAAAAAAUAAUUUGCGACCUCGAUGUUGAAUUAAUAUUCUAUUAAAUGCAAUAAUUUAAUAAGAAAGUCUGUUCGACUUUUAAUAAAUUACAUGAUCUGAGCAAAANCCCGGGNGA
rnacentral:rRNA from 1 species